rnacentral:rRNA from 1 species
GCUAAAACCCCGCAGGCUACCAAGAUGACACCAUGCCAAAAUGGACGACCGCAAUGAAGUUGGCAGUUAAAGAUAACGUGCAAGUGACGAAGUAGCUACCAGUUACCGUCCACCCGGAGCAGUACACAUCCAGGUCGUUUACUUCACCUACAUGUACGUUAAGACCCACUCUCUUUAUAUGAUACGCCCUCCACGCCACUUUUGGGAUCCUUGGUUAGGCGGGUUAGGAGCUCGGGGCGUAGGGAGAGGUGAAGGGUAAGCGGUCGGGUUAGGAAGGUGGAGGGAGGAGGGGUGGAGGGGUGGGCCGCCGCGGAAGAGGGUGGAGGGUGGAGGGUGCCGGAGGAAAGUACCGCCAUGGGGCUGGAUUACCUAGAAGUGCCAGAAGUAAGCCCGGACCAGUCGGCCACGUCUACCUCACCUCACCGUCUACGCGCACGAGAACCCGCAACGGCCGCUCUCUUCCGCCCCUCCUCGAGACGGGUUGGGAAAGUACCUCGAGCGAGUCGGCGGCCGGCUGGCACCACCUCUUCUACCGCUGCCGUCUGCUAUCAAGGGGUACCACUCCACUAGAGAGGGUAUGGGAGGAAGGAGAGUGGAGAGGGAGUUCUAGGGCAAGACCUUGCUCUACCUACUUCCACUGGUGGGUCGACCAACUGAGCGACGGUGCGCAUCCGGUGGAGACGGGCGUGCAACUCCAACUCCGUGUGGUAGAAUCCUCGCACCUGAGUUCACUGCAACUCUUAGGACCCUUGUUAUAACAGUACUGACCAAAGAGUAGAGUAGAUUGACUGACUCUAGAUCUCUUCGUGAAAAGAUGUCUCCCUCUCCACUAACUACGUUCAUAUCAUGAACUAGGUACCUGUUCCCAUAGUGCUCCUAAACCUAAAUAAUGGUACCCAUGAGAAUUCCUCCGUCUUGCAACGUAGUUUAUAGAAUUGAUAAGUCACGAUCUUCAAGCAUAGUAAUAACAACUCUUCCGUUCCAGCUUGGGGUUGUGGCUCUUCCAUAGAACCGUGGUUUAGUAGCGCUCUUCUUCCCUACACAACCACACGUGCUCCACAAUUAUGAAUUAUUUCAAAACGUAAGAAACAAGACCACCUAAACCACGCAAACCAACGGUAGAUACGACUUAAAAAAAGGAAUCUAACAAGACCACAAAAACCACGUUUGACUAAUUCCUCCCGGAUCCUCAAACAGUUCAAACGGUACAUACGGAUUAUGUUAAAAGAAUCGAACGAUGACGUUAACAUACUAACACUAGGGUCAUCCAGUUCUGAUGUAAACACAACAACUUGGCUCUAAGCGAUUCGAACCGUCUCUCCUAUUGAAAAAGAAAACGUCUAUUGACCCGAGAUUUUCUAAGUUAUCAAUGUACACCAAAACAUAGACGUCAAACAAACGUACAUAAAAAAACUCCAAAAACUACUGGUCUUAAUACUUUAAAAGAACCAAUUUUAGAAAUAUACACCGUACUAGAGACUUUUGUUUUAUCUCAUUAUAUCAAAGGAAGUUCGACGGUAACGUUAUCUUCUACUUCACAUAGAAGUACUAGUCAUCUAGGCACGCACUACGGCGGACAACAUCAAGAUAGCGAUACGUCUGUACAAGUUCUUUACGUUCAUUAUAUCAAAACUACUACAGACUCACAUAGAACACAUACACGUCUAUUUCGUUGGAACAAGUCUUCACGAAAUAGUUCAAGGACAUUUUUUCGAAAGAUCUAUAUUGUAAUACAAAUGUCAAAGCGAGCCGAAGGGAUUAGGGUUUCCAUUAUUAUACUAAGGAAAUACAACAAACGGGUCUAAGUCUUCACUUAAAAACGCCAUAUAAACGAACAACACACAUGACAUUUAAGAUUCGAAAGAUCCGUAUGUACACGUGCACAUAAAAAAUCCAUGAUUAUAAUAAAGAAAUACAACAUUUGAGAUCCACAGAACAUUUGAGAAUUCGAAAGAUCCGCAAGUACAUGUACACAUAAAAAAAUCCAUUAUUAUACUAAAGACAGACACCAAACGGGUUUAAGUCUUCACUUGAAACGACAUAUAAACGAGCUACACACAGUACAUUUGAGAUUCCUAAGAUCCGCAUGUAUGUGUACACAUAAACAACUUAAUAGAUGGAAUACUGACGUGUCUGGCAAAUUUGUUUGGCACUGGGGAAGAAGAUACAUUGUGGAUAAAAAAUAACAGGUAGUUCGGGGUAAAAAAACGCCAACGUCGGUGGACUAGUGAUGUGACUUACUCAUUCAUCCUGUAAUAAAUACUACCAGCAAGAAGGAAAGUGCAGAGGGUUAUACGUUAAAAACAAAGUCCGUCGGGAUUACAUUGAAAACUCUAGCUUGUAUAUUUCCUGCGAUGCGAUGGGCGGCAAGACCUCCGUAACGCUCGCGAGACACAAAAACUGGCGGGCUAGCUAAUGGAUGUCACUAACAAACCGACGAUCGCUGACCAGUUGGCAGGUGAUAAAAGGUUCGAGUACCGGCGAAGUUCUCUCCUACUGUACACCCCAGCACUCCGACGCCCCCGGUCGCUCGUCUCCCACCCAAAGCGACCUCCGUGCACUUACUAAGGAGAAACUUUUUGGAUCGCGUGGUCCUCGGGUUCUGGUUAGGAGAAGGAGGAGCUCGGGGUGUGGUGAGGCGGGGCAGGACGGAGGGGACGAGGAGAGCGCGGCGGCGGAAGAGAGUACCGGGAGAAGGGGCCGCGAGCUCGUCGUCGCCCCCGAGGUGAUCAUGCUAGAUCGGUCUUGUCCACGUCCAGCGGCCGUAGGCCGCGGUGCGCUGCACUAAGACCUAGCCCGCGUCUAGAGACAGUCCUAUCAUCCUAACCGACGACGUUACUCUCGUCGUCUACUUGGGUGGAACAGCUCGGGGUUGGGCCGCCGAUGGACGUCUCCUCCUCUCCAGUUCCUACCGAGGGUAGUGGGCAGUGUCCAUCCCAAUCGCUCCUCCUCCAACAGGCGUUUCUCCGUCACACCACCGAUCCGUCGGUGGAGAGGGGAGGAGGAGGGUUGUUCACCGCCGAGCUACCAGGUACCGCAGUAGCAGCAGUAGGAACCAUCAUCCUCGUACCCGGCGUCUCUUCCGGCCGAGAACGCACCAGCAAACAGGUGAGCUCUUCGGGCGGGCGGGUGGGCAGUAGGUGCGGGGACGAGGAAUCCGGCAAGAACAGGGAAGUCCGUCCACUCGAGGAAAGAGGAGAGAACGGGGGAAACUAAAACACGACCAUCUACACAAACAACAACCAAAACGACGACGGACGACGGUCCGAAGCGACGACGAACCGGACUGAGACGAACACAACGAUGAUACACGAUGAUACACAACAACCAACGGAGGAAUAAACCAAUAAACACUUAGACUUUUGUGGAACACUCUUCGUUACUAACUCCUCUUCCGAUAUAUUCGGUUACUCUUCUCGAAGUAAGAGUCCCAAAAAAUUCUUAAUUACUUCCUGUACAGUAUACAAGUCAACGAUUGUAAGAGAGAUACCACAUACGUGAACAACAAGUAACGUAACCUCCCUCUCCUUAUGUGAAACACUCUUCGUCCCUAACUUCUCUUCCGAUACUCCGUUACUCUUUUCGAAUUAUAAAGCAAAAAAUAAAUUCUUAACUACUUCCGGUGGUGGUGGAUGGAUGACUGAUACAAAUACGUACAGACACAACACUACACGUGUCCUCGUACUAAACAAGACCGUGAAUUUCGUAAUUGUGCGGAUAUUAUGUCCGGAACUCAGAUGUUUCAUAGGAUUUGUAACACACACACACACACACACACACACACACUUCACAGUCACGAAGACACAUCCUUGAUCCUUCAGAUUAUCCCACACAAAGGUAAAGAAAACGGAAAGACUAGUCGUGUUAACCGGGUCCUACGCACAUUCGAAACAAGACUACUCCUUCGACUGACACACGCAGUAGUCAAAUAGCGGCAGUCGACCUAGAAACUUCGGUACGCUGCGAGUUGAAAUCACUGACCACAUCGCAGGUCCUAAAAUAGGAUUUGACGAUAAUUUGAGUGUUCUCCCUCGUAAAAUUAUUAUUGUCUUGAGAUCGGUACGAAGGACUGUAUGAUGUAUAUACGUACAACAUGAUUGUCAAGGAUAAAAAAUUGAUAACGCAUGGUCUUUUAACUUAACCGUUAUAGACGUAUUUAUACUACAUAAUUUAAUACAAUACUCUCCCUAAACAAAUUAAAGUUUUGAUUCCUUCAACCUACUCGAAUUUCGUGGAUAAGUGGCCAAUUGACUUGAAAGGAUUAACAUAAAAUUUAGGUGUUCUCCCGUUUUAGUAACGAGUAAGGGUCUAGUAGAUUUAGUCUACCUACCCGAGGUUUGAGGGUCACGUUAAAAAAACUCUUAGUGGGGGCCACGGUAAACAACAAACCUGGCUACCGUGAUACCUCUCCACUCAAACACUGAUAUGUAAGAACAGGAUGUACACUUAACUUUUAUAUAACAGAGACAUACACUUACAUUUAUAGGUCCAUACAUUCGUUCAGGAUUGAAAAUAAAUGUAUAAAUAGAUACUUUACGUACGUUCGUACAGUGUUGAAAUGUCUGUUAACGGGGGAGUAUCCAUUUGGGCUACUAAUUAUUUAAUUGGCCGACCUCUAGCCAACGGGGGAAUAUCCAUUUAGCCUACUAAGUAUUUAAUUGGCCGACCUCUAGCCAUCUGUCAGUUCACAUAACUAUCGACCUAAAAAUCUCGAGUUUUAGGAAGAUUGAAAAGAUGACUGACAUAAAAGAACUGUCGAAAGUCUCUUCUUGUUCAUGACAAUCAGUAAGAGACUGUACAUAUUAUAUUAUGAUCUCUACACUUACCUACAUCAAGUAAAUCAUCUCAUAAUCAUCUGCUACUAAUGAAAGGAAGUGAUUUACUAUACAAAUCAGUCAAGGGUUUAAUUAAACAUUUCAUG